rnacentral:rRNA from 1 species
GAUGAACGCUGGCGGCGUGCCUAAUACAUGCAAGUCGAGCGAACAGACGAGGAGCUUGCUCCUCUGACGUUAGCGGCGGACGGGUGAGUAACACGUGGAUAACCUACCUAUAAGACUGGGAUAACUUCGGGAAACCGGAGCUAAUACCGGAUAAUAUAUUGAACCGCAUGGUUCAAUAGUGAAAGACGGUUUUGCUGUCACUUAUAGAUGGAUCCGCGCCGCAUUAGCUAGUUGGUAAGGUAACGGCUUACCAAGGCAACGAUGCGUAGCCGACCUGAGAGGGUGAUCGGCCACACUGGAACUGAGACACGGUCCAGACCCCUACGGGAGGCAGCAGUAGGGAAUCUUCCGUCAUGGGCGAAAGCCUGACGGAGCAACGCGGCGUGAGUGAUGAAGGUCUUCGGAUCGUAAAACUCUGUUAUUAGGGAAGACCAAAUGUGUAAGUACCUAUGCACGUCUUGACGGUACCUAAUCAGAAAGCCACGGCUAACUACGUG